GCAUUUCAUGUCAACCUUGGAAAAGAUUUAAGAAAUUUGAAACCAAAAGCGGUUGUAAUAUUUGACAAAGUCAUUCUUAAUAUUGGGAAGGCUUACAGCCCAUCAAACGGAUUGUUUACUUGUCCUGAGGAUGGUGUAUAUAGUUUUACUUGGACUGCAUUGACUUCACCUAAUAACAGUUUUUAGAGUGAUUUUGUAGUCAACGGUAAAGUUGUUGCAGGAAAUCGUGCCAGCGCUUACAACGACAAGGAGUAUCAACCUGCAACUAAAACCGUAGUACUUGAACUGAAGAAAGGCGACGUAGCCAAUGUGGCAGCGCAUGGAAACUAUGCAAAGCACAUAUACCCGUUCUGGUCAUCUUAUUCGGGUUUUAGGGUUUUCUAAUAAAUGAAUUAAACUGUUACUGUAACAGUGUAUAUGUGUGUUUCGAUUUGUUUAUGU
rnacentral:lncRNA from 1 species